rnacentral:rRNA from 1 species
AGUGAACGCUGGCGGUAGGCCUAACACAUGCAAGUCGAACGGCAGCACAGUAAGAGCUUGCUCUUACGGGUGGCGAGUGGCGGACGGGUGAUGAAUACAUCGGAAUCUACUUUUUCGUGGGGGAUAACGUAGGGAAACUUACGCUAAUACCGCAUACGACCUACGGGUGAAAGCAUGGGAUCUUCGGACCUUGCGCGAUUGAAUGAGCCGAUGUCGGAUUAGCUAGUUGGCGGGGUAAAGGCCCACCAAGGCGACGAUCCGUAGCUGGUCUGAGAGGAUGAUCAGCCACACUGGAACUGAGACACGGUCCAGACUCCUACGGGAGGCAGCAGUGGGGAAUAUUGGACAAUGGGCGCAAGCCUGAUCCAGCCAUACCGCGUGGGUGAAGAAGGCCUUCGGGUUGUAAAGCCCUUUUGUUGGGAAAGAAAAGCAGCAGGUUAAUACCCCGCUGUUUUGACGGUACCAAAAGAAUAAGCACCGGCUAACUUCGUG